CAUCGACGAAAGCACUGAGUUAGUCUUGAUCUUAGCAAUUUGAGAGAUGCUAUUGGUGGCACUGCAAUAUUGAAAAUUUUUCUGUUGAUUGAACUAUUAGAUACGCAUUUGACUUUAUCUCAUUUAGCCUUUCUUCCCUUGUUUUGUCAACCUUGUUUCAUAAUGACUAAUCUGAACUUGUGUGCAGUGAUUGCAGAAUCACGAAUAGCAUCUACACAAUCAUCAUCGUCUGCACGUGAUGAUUUUGUGUUUGAAACACCAAGUUGUUGUUGUGGUUCGAAAGCACCACUAAAGACGUCGCACACAAUGAAAAAUUCAGGAAGGAAAUUUUUCGUUUGACCAAACUAUAAAAUGGGAGAAACGAGGAAAUGUGAAUUUUUUGUUUAGACAGAUAUACUUUACUUGCUAGAGGAAAACAUUCGUGUGAGAGAGAGUAAAGUUUGAAAGAUGUGAGAUGGUGUAUUGGCGUACGAGAAUGAAGUUCGUAAUCUGGAAGAUAAAGUACAAGAGCAAGAGACUACUCUUCAUAGGGAAAAACAUAAAUUAUUAUGUCUGUAUUGGGUUGUUAUUUUUGUAAUUAUUUUGGCUUGGUUUGGAUAAAGUGUAUGUAAAUAAAUCUCAUAACAUUGUAUUGAGUUUAUUGCUCUUUUGAUGCAAAGGAGUACUCCAACUAUGUUAAAAACUGAGAUGUGUGCAGCGUUUUGUACCCCAACUAUGUUUUUCCAUGAUGUACAAAAUGGAUGUUAAGUUAA